UAAGCAAGCCUGGGCAAUGGCGGGCGCCCCUCCCCCAGCCUCGCUGCCGCCUUGCAGUUUGAUCUCAGACUGCUGCGCUAGCAAUCAGUGAGAUUCCGUGGGCGUAGGACCCUCCGAGCCAGGUGUGGGAUAUAGUCUCGUGGUGCGCCGUUUUUUAAGCCGGUCUGAAAAGCGCAAUAUUCGGGUAGGAGUGACCCGAUUUUCCAGAAUGGGCAAAUAAUUGAUGGAAUGCUCACAUGGUGGAUGCUGGGUGUCAAUGAGAGUGGUGAGCCACAACUACACACGACAGCACGUAUGGACCUUACAAGCAAACUAUUGAGUGAAAGGACCAGAUAGGAAAGAAGAUGGAACCAUCCAGUUGCAGAAAAACAAACUCAGGGCUCCCACUAAUUCUACAUUAUGGCUGCCACGGAGCACCUGUGGGGCUGGAGCCCCCAACGCAGCCUGGUGGGGAGGGGUGUUGGUGAAGAGUCAGACUCUGCCGGCCUCCCUGGUCUCUGAGCACCUGGUGCACUCCGGGCACCCACAGGCAUCUGCCUGGCCAGAGGGCAGCUCCGUAGCCAAUGUUUCUCUAAGCAACCUAUGGUCCCUGAAUCCGGACCUGGUGCCCUUGGGUGAAGGGAGGUGACGUGCCUGUUCUCAAGAUGCUGGAUGCUGGGCUACCCCAGGCUCCCUGGGGGUGGAGGCGGGGAGGGUCACUGAAAAUACUGAAGAGCAUCCCCGGGGCCCCAGAUGGAAAGAGAGUAGUGGGUGGGCCUCUGUGCACAGGAUGGACGGGGGCCCUGGGGCCUGUCCCCCGCUUCAUUUCUCUUUCCUUAUCUGUGAAAUGGAGGAAAGCAUGUAUCUCUCCAGCUCAGAGAUGCCCGGGAGGACCAAGGGCCUGGGGGAGGCAGGGCUUGGCCAGGGUGGCUCGUGGCUGUGACCAGGUCCCAGAGACUGGCCUGUCUCCCUGGGUCCGCUGCAGCAUGACGGGUUCCUGCUGAUGUGAAGGCUGACUGCUGCCCUCCCAGAGGUCCCCUUAAAUGCCGUACCACACCACCCCGGGGAAGCCAGGCCCAGGUGCCCAGGAGCUGCCCAGAGCCAGGCCCACAUGGAUCCCAGCUUGCUUUCUGCUCCUCCUUGUCCUGAGCUACCUAAGCCCAGGUUAGGCUGAGUAGCCCCCUCCCCACACUCCCACCAGACUCUAGGGCAUUGUGGGGGGUACCUUCGUAGAGUAGGCUUGUGGCUCCGGCCUCUGCAGCUGUCCUGGUUUUGAGACAUUUUACUCCACUCAAUAAAGAUUAUUUGUUGA